rnacentral:rRNA from 1 species
UACGAAGGGUGCAAGCGUUACUCGGAAUUACUGGGCGUAAAGCGUGCGUAGGUGGUUUGUUAAGUCGGGUGUGAAAGCCCCGGGCUCAACCUGGGAAUUGCAUUCGAGACUGAAUAGCUAGGGUACGGUAGAGGGAAGUGGAAUUUCCGGUGUAGCGGUGAAAUGCGUAGAUAUCGGAAGGAACAUCAGUGGCGAAAGCGACUUCCUGGACCAGUACCGACGUUCAGGCACGAAAGCGUGGGGAGCAAACAGG